rnacentral:lncRNA from 1 species
GUUUCACAAUCAUAGAAAUUAGGGAAUGGGUGAUCCUAUUGAUGAAUCUAUUUGCUAAUUUGUAUGUGAAAACAUUUCAUCAUUCCUAACACUUUUGCUUUUGUUUCACAUUAUUAUUAAUAAACAAUAUUAAUAAUUUUGAUUUAAAUAUUCCAUGGAGCACAGCUAAAUAUACUUUAUCCGCCGAAUGAAAUCACAAUUUGUACACAUUUAUGAAGUAAAAGUUUAGUGAAACAUCCUCUCCUCAGUGAUCAUAUUAAUUAGGACACAAUAUCACAUACUAUAUGUUCUCCAGUUUCUUAUAAAUUUUUCCUUUGUUGAUCAUGAAUUAACACAUGUUCCAGAAUCAUUGCAGUUAGUUAUUCAUUCAUUUCAACAUAUUUCCUUUUGUUGAACCUGCUUUUUAAUACAGCAGCAAAUUUUUUUUCUCACUUAUUUUUAAUACAGUCAAUUAACUUCUACAUUGUUCUAAUUUGUAUUCCUUUUAGCACAGUUAAAACAGUCUUGAUUCCAU